AUUGAACGCUGGCGGCAGGCUUAACACAUGCAAGUCGAGCGAGCGGCGGACGGGUGAGUAAUGUCUGGGAAACUGCCUGCUGGUGGGGGAUAACUACUGGUAACGGUAGCUAAUACUGCAUACCCUCAUAAGUUCCCAGAUGGGAUUGGCUAGGAGGUGGGGUAAUGGCUCCCCUACGCGACGAUCCCUAGCUGGUCUGAGAGGAUGACCAGCCACACUGGAACGGAGCCACGGUCCCGACUCCUACGGGAGGCAGCAGUGGAGAAUAUUGCACAAUUGGCGCGAGCCUGAUGCAGCCCUGCCGCGUGUGUGAAGAGAGCCUUCGGGUUGUAAUGCACUUUCAGCGAGGAGGCGUUAUUCGCAGAAGAAGCACCGGCUAACUCCGUGCCAGCAGCCGCGGUAAUUC
rnacentral:rRNA from 1 species